CAUGGAGUUGGAAUCGCUAGUAAUCGCGAAUCAGAAUGUCGCGGUGAAUACGUUCCCGGGUCUUGUACACACCGCCCGUCACACCACGAGAGUUUACAACACCCGAAGUCAGUGGCCUAACCGCAAGGAGGGAGCUGCCUAAGGUGGGGUAGAUGAUUGGGGUGAAGUCGUAACAAGGUACC
rnacentral:rRNA from 1 species